UACGAAGGGGGCUAGCGUUGUUCGGAAUUACUGGGCGUAAAGCGUGCGCAGGCGGUUUCCCAAGUCAGUGGUGAAAGCCCGGAGCUCAACUCCGGAACUGCCAUUGAAACUGUGAAGCUCGAGGACGAGAGAGGUGAGUGGAAUUCCCAGUGUAGAGGUGAAAAUUCGUAGAUAUUGGGAAGAACACCAGUGGCGAAGGCGGCUCACUGGCUCGUAACUGACGCUCAUGCACGACAGCGUGGGGAUCAAACAGG
rnacentral:rRNA from 1 species